CGCUUAUCACGUGCUCCAGUAUAGUGUGCUCAGUAAAGACUAAACGGGGAAGAAUUGCUGUGGAACAGACACAAGUGGAAUCUAAAGAUUUUCUAAGAUGUUGGGAAAUUUCUGCAGUCAAAGGGAAACUGACGGCUGGUUCACAAAAUCUACCAUGCAGCUCGACAGGUAACAACCACUUAUGGCUGCCUCUUAUUGCUGUAAUAUACAGUUAGUGCACUAAGAUGAAUAAAGAUGUAUUGAUGAACAAGGCUUAUAAGUAUGUAGCUGCAGCUAUUAACCAGCAUCUAUAUCUAAAUAAUAAACAGCUCAUUAAACCUAAGAAUCUUUAAAAAUGGUGAUUUAUGUAUGUUUAUCAUAUCAUAUUUGCUAAUCUGCAUACAUGUAUAAAGGAUU